GUACACGCUGUGACUAGCAUAUCAAUAAGCGGAGGAAAAGAAACUAACAAGGAUUCCCCUAGUAACGGCGAGUGAAGCGGGAAGAGCUCAAAUUUGAAAUCUUAAAGGGUUUCCCUUUACGAAUUGUAGUUUAAAGAAGUGUUUUCUGUUGAGGUUUUGGUAAAAGUUCUUUGGAAUAGGACAUCAUAGAGGGUGAGAAUCCCGUAUUUGACCUUUACUUUCAACUUUGUGAUACACUUUCAAAGAGUCGGAUUGUUUGGGAAUGCAGUCCAAAAUGGGUGGUAAAUUUCAUCUAAAGCUAAAUAUUGGUGAGAGACCGAUAGCGAACAAGUACCGUGAGGGAAAGAUGAAAAGAACUUUGAAAAGAGAGUUAAACAGUACGUGAAAUUGUCAAAAGGGAAGCGUUUGACACCAGUGUUGUUUUUCUGAAAAUCAAUUAAAGAACUGUUUAUGCUAAGUCUGUUUAGACUUUAUCAGCUAAUCUGUUUAGUUUUGAGCUUUUCUUUAAUGCACUUUUCAGUUAACAAGUCAACAUCAAUUUCUUUUGCUGUAAAAAAGCUUGAGGAAGGUGGCUUGAGAUUCGUCUUAAGUGUUUAUAGCCUCUUGCCUAUGCAGUCGGAGAGAUUGAGGUCUGCAGCGUAGAUCCUUCGGGGCUAAAUGCAUUUGUGCUAAGUUAUAGCAUUUUAUAGACAACUUGUUGACUAUGAUUUGUCUUGUAGCUUACUCGCUUAUGUUAUUUUACCUACGCUUAGGAUGUUGAAGAUGUAGCACAUCAU
rnacentral:rRNA from 1 species